rnacentral:lncRNA from 1 species
GGUGGGGGAGAGACAAGGAGCCAUCCAUGCCAACCCAUUUCGGCCACCCCGCUCUCCCUGCGACACUUACACAGCCAAGGGGAUCUGCUGCUCCGAGCCGGCCACGGCCACCAGGCUGAGGCAAACACCUGCCCAGAAGAGGGCGAGGAGCCCCGCGGAAGCCCUCCCGAGCCCGGGCAUGGUGUCGGUCCUCGGCGUGCCUUCCCAGCGACGCUGCUCUCGGCUUGCGCGGCGGCGGAGAGGGAAAAGCGAGCGGGCGGGCGGGCGAGCGCGGAGCCGGGGCGCGGCGGGGCGCGGAGUCACGGCGCCAUCCUCUUCUCCUCAGCUCCGCGAGCGGGGCGGCUGGCUGGCUGGCUUCGCUCCAGAUCCUGAGGCGGGUCGGGCUCUCCCGGCUGGUCCCCGAAAAGUGGGGUGUCCUCGGCAACCCGCCCCACGGGCUUGCCACGCUGCUGGGCAACCACAACUCCGCUCCGCAGUCGGCGGCGCGCCGGAGUUACUUCCGCGAGUGACCUCGUGGCUGCUCCCGCCGGCGCCUUGAAGUGCAGAGCCCGGCAGGUUUGGGCGGGAAGGAGCUCGCUCGCUGUCGUCGAGGGUCAGGUGGGGAGGAGCUCGGCGGCCGAAGCGCGGCUCACUUUGCCCAGGGAAACGCAAAGAGGUCCCUCCCUCCGUCCCCUUUUGGGCGACGUGUGUACGCGCGCCUCCCUCUCCCUCUCGCCCGCCUCCCUCCCUCUCUCUGCGUUCAUUCAGCGCUGCGCAGCUCCAGCGCAGCCUUCGUUCCAAAUCAAGUCCGCGCUGCUAAUAUACCCUGGUGGAGAGCGGCGCGGCGUCGGCCGCCUUUUAAGGAGAUGGUGCGCGCCGUCAGGCAGGCAUCGCAGGGGGAGGGAGGAGCAGCAGGAGGAGGAAGAAGAAGAAGAAGAAGCAGAAGAGCGAGCCAGGGCCGAAAGUGUCUCCAAGGCGGCAGAAGCGGAGCAAGUCCGCAGGAAAAAGUGCGGGACGAUCCGCGUUGGGAUCAGCGGCAGCAGGGAGCCAGAGGGAAAGGCGCCGCUGCCAGAUCCGCAGCCCCUCCCGCCGCCGCCGCCGGAGGAAGAGACCUGCUCAGAGUAGCAGCCUGAAGAAGGUGACAGCCAGAGACUCACUCAUAUAAUUAAUAAUGAAGCGGUACUUAAUAAACAUAACAGAAAAUUCAAAAUUCAACAAGAUGUAGUUCUGAAUGCAACACAUACAUUCAUCACGUACACCUCCCACACACAGAAAUGAAACAGCGUGAACAACAACUGCUGAGAGGGAAGGGCUUUCUUCUGGGUGCUUGUUUCUUAUCGGUUAUAAAUUAGCAGUUUUCCCAUACAUAUCUCCCUGUAUAGUAUGCUUUUGCCAAUGAAUUCCAGUGGGUAGGUGCAGAUUCAUGUUAUAGUAGUAAGACAAUGGCACCAUACACCACAAACAGCACCUCUGGUUUUUUUAGGUCACAAUUGUGAAAGCAGAGACUCCCUUUCUAAAUACAAUAACACACUGAAAAGGUGGAAUUAACAAUCUAGCCAUGCAAUCCGUAAUCAUAACAUAAUAAGGGAUAGUAAAUGGGUUUCUAAUACACAUUAAAUUAUUUUGAAUAAAUAACUUUACAGUUAUUUCAUGGAAAAUGGGGGUAAGAAACUUUUGGCUCUUCAGAUGUCAAACUCCAACUGUCAUCAUUCCUGACCAUUAGCCAUCCUGGCUGAGGCCAAUGCAAGUUGCAGUUCAACAACAACAAAAGCAGUUUAGGGCAACCAUUCCAUCCCUCUUGCUGAUUCCUGCUAGUCUAAAAAUGGCCAUUUUGGCUACAGAUUAAUCGUGUCAGCAUUAAGGAUGUAAGAAGGCACCCAUUUCCAUUCCAUUGAGACGCGGUCUGGUUUCCACCAAAUACUAUGCUAUUCAUCUUGCUGUCCACUAUUUAACAUAAUCUGUGUAGUUAUUUAUGUAAUGUACAUAAGCUAUGCAUUUAAUACAGAUGCAAUUAUACCCAUACUGUUCAUUUCAAUGUAAAGGAAAUAUCAGAACAAUGGGGGGAAAGUAAUUAAUUGCAUAUGCAGGCUUUAAAGAAAAUAGUAAUCAUAUUUUUCUGGAUUAAUACCAAUUGUAUUUGCUUCCGUUUCCAGUGGAAUUCUCUGGCACGCCAGUUAAUGCUGCUGGAAGAGUUCAAAGGUCAGCAUUUUAAGAAAAGUAUUUAUUCAUAUGCCAAUAGAUGCA